rnacentral:rRNA from 1 species
UAGUCCACGCCGUAAACGAUGGAUACUAGCUGUCCGGCGCACAUUGGUGCGCUGGGUGGCCAAGCGAAAGUGAUAAGUAUCCCACCUGGGGAGUACGUUCGCAAGAAUGAAACUCAAAGGGAAUUGACGGGGGCCCGCACAAGCGGUGGAGCAUGUGGUUUAAUUCGAUGAUACGCGAGGAACCUUACCAGGGCUUAAAUGUAGUCUGACAGGGGUGGAAACACCCUUUUCUUCGGACAGAUUACAAGGUGUUGCAUGGUUGUCGUCAGCUCGUGCCGUGAGGUGUCAGGUUAAGUCCUAUAACGAGCGCAACCCCUGUUGUUAGUUGCCAGCGAGUCAAGUCGGGAACUCGUAACAGACUGCCGGUGCAAACCGUGAGGGAAGGUGGGGAUGGACGUCAAAUCAUCACGGCCCUUACGUCCUGGGGCCACACACGUGCUACAAUGGGCAGGGUACAA